CUGCGGGUGCUAUAAUGCAAGUCGAGCGGACAGAUGGGAGCUUGCUCCCUGAUGUUAGCGGCGGACGGGUGAGUAACACGUGGGUAACCUGCCUGUAAGACUGGGAUAACUCCGGGAAACCGGGGCUAAUACCGGAUGGUUGUUUGAACCGCAUGGUUCAGACAUAAAAGGUGGCUUCGGCUACCACUUACAGAUGGACCCGCGGCGCAUUAGCUAGUUGGUGAGGUAACGGCUCACCAAGGCGACGAUGCGUAGCCGACCUGAGAGGGUGAUCGGCCACACUGGGACUGAGACACGGCCCAGACUCCUACGGGAGGCAGCAGUAGGGAAUCUUCCGCAAUGGACGAAAGUCUGACGGAGCAACGCCGCGUGAGUGAUGAAGGUUUUCGGAUCGUAAAGCUCUGUUGUUAGGGAAGAACAAGUGCCGUUCAAAUAGGGCGGCACCUUGACGGUACCUAACCAGAAAGCCACGGCUAACUACGUGCCAGCAGCCGCGGUAAUACGUAGGUGGCAAGCGUUGUCCGGAAUUAUUGGGCGUAAAGGGCUCGCAGGCGGUUUCUUAAGUCUGAUGUGAAAGCCCCCGGCUCAACCGGGGAGGGUCAUUGGAAACUGGGGAACUUGAGUGCAGAAGAGGAGAGUGGAAUUCCACGUGUAGCGGUGAAAUGCGUAGAGAUGUGGAGGAACACCAGUGGCGAAGGCGACUCUCUGGUCUGUAACUGACGCUGAGGAGCGAAAGCGUGGGGAGCGAACAGGAUUAGAUACCCUGGUAGUCCACGCCGUAAACGAUGAGUGCUAAGUGUUAGGGGGUUUCCGCCCCUUAGUGCUGCAGCUAACGCAUUAAGCACUCCGCCUGGGGAGUACGGUCGCAAGACUGAAACUCAAAGGAAUUGACGGGGGCCCGCACAAGCGGGGGAACAGUGGGUUUAAUUCCAAACAACGCCAAAAAACCUUUCCAGGGCUUGAAAUCCUCUGACAACCCAAAAAAAAGGAGGCCCCCUCUGGGGGGAAAAAGAAAGGGGGGGCUUG
rnacentral:rRNA from 1 species